GUGACCGACUCUGGAGAGUGGCGCGCGGCGCCCGCCGAAGGGAUAGCGAUCUCAGGCGAAAGGACAGAGGGGGCGUC
rnacentral:ncRNA from 1 species